CUACGGGACGCAGCAGUGGGGAAUAUUGCACAAUGGGCGCAAGCCUGAUGCAGCCAUGCCGCGUGUAUGAAGAAGGCCUUCGGGUUGUAAAGUACUUUCAGCGGGGAGGAAGGGAGUAAAGUUAAUACCUUUGCUCAUUGGCGUUACCCGCAGAAGAAGCACCGGCUAACUCCGUGCCAGCAGCCGCGGUAAUACGGAGGGUGCAAGCGUUAAUCGGAAUUACUGGGCGUAAAGCGCACGCAGGCGGUUUGUUAAGUCAGAUGUGAAAUCCCCGGGCUCAACCUGGGAACUGCAUCUGAUACGGGCAAGCUUGAGUCUCGUAGAGGGGGGUAGAAUUCCAGGUGUAGCGGUGAAAUGCGUAGAGAUCUGGAGGAAUACCGGUGGCGAAGGCGGCCCCCUGGACGAAGACUGACGCUCAGGUGCGAAAGCGUGGGGAGCAAACAGGAUUAGAUACCCGGGUAGUC
rnacentral:rRNA from 1 species